GAUGAAGAACGUAGCGAAACGCGAUAAGUAAUGUGAAUUGCAGAAUCCAGUGAAUCAUCGAAUCUUUGAACGCACAUCGCGCCCGCCAGCAUUCUGGCGGGCAUGCCUGUUCGAGCGUCAUUUCAACCCUCGACCUCCCCUUGGGGAGGUCGGCGUUGGGGACCGGCAGCACACCGCCGGCCCUGAAAUGGAGUGGCGGCCCGUCCGCGGCGACCUCUGCGCAGUAAUACAGCUCGCACCGGGACCCCGACGCGGCCACGCCGUAAAACACCCAACUUCUGAACGUUGACCUCGAAUCAGGUAGGACUACCCGCUGAACUUAAGCAUAUCAAUAAGCGGAGG
rnacentral:misc_RNA from 1 species